GUUAGUUUAGCGUAAGGCCCAAUGAGUAACUGUUAGACUAACUGUUUUGCAACGGCUCAUGUCCUCAGGGCCGUCAUUUAUUGCGCGCAUUAAGCUGAUUAGCUUAUCAUGGUUUUGUUGUUCAGCGCGCGCCCAACCAUGCAUCUUGCAUGCCACCGUAUAGCAACGCCUUCGACAACGCUUCCAUUCCUACACAAACCAACUCCGAAAUGGCCAACGUCGUCCCGAUAAUGCCGAACUCGUAAGGAGCGAACUGGCAUGAUCCGAGUGAGUGCGCUGCGCUUGCUUUGAUUCCCGCUAUUCGGCAGGGCGCCAAAGUCAUGUGUUCCGCGUCCAUAACCUCCGCAACUGACUUCGUGAAUCGGCGGGCGAACGCUGCAUUCUCGGGUUUCGCAUAGGUUUAAGUCAACAUGGUAUCUUCCCCGAGCCGUGUUGGUACACACCUUAAAGCGCAGCUUGGUUCAGCUGCGCCAUUAAGGAAGUAACCUGCUGUUGCAUUUGCAGGAAGAACGCCAUCGGAUCCGGGGCGGUGGGUGGGUAUUGUUGACUUGUAGGUUGAGCAUUGAGUUUUUGGGUUCGUCGUGUCACCUGACUAAGUGCUAGUGGGAGCCAUCUCAGCCAGUCUACCAUUUUGGCAUUACUAUCAAAUUGGCAGCCGAUGUGUGUUUGUUACAUGGUCGUGGGUGUGUUCCCCGUACCUGAAACCGCCCUAAUAUGAGCCGGGGGCUCAAGGGCUGCCAGAUCGCCUGUAAGCACCAUCCUACCUCGCAUUUCAGGCAAAGCAAGUGGUAAAGGAUAUUAACGACCAAAGGGAACGAUAAAGUUGCGGUGGGACCAUAUAUGUUCCAGCAUCCUUGCCAGGCGUUCAGGUUCCCACUUCACUUCAUAGCAUCCUUCAUAUGCUCGAAGCGUGGGAAAUCCAUAUCAGAUCUGAUUUUGUCGUACACUGGACAGUCCAGCAAAAAUUGCUUCUCAUCCUCGAUAUGACUAUCAGUGCCGCAGCACAGGGGCAUACUCACUCCUCCCUAGGUAGGUAACACCGUCCCUUACACGCUCUGUUAGCCGCCAAUGCCAAACAGCAAAGCCUAAACUGCAUAAGCUUGCAAUUCGCUGAACGCGGGAUAAACGUUGUGAUAUGCGGGAGCACCUCCUUCCUGUCCGCUUGCUCGGCCCCCAGACCCAUCCAAUGCUUAUACUUCGCCAUGUGGAUUCCUGGUUGCUUGCCGUCUGACAGGUACAUGUCUGGCUGGACAUCUAGACGUGUAUGCUUCCAACCACUCACCAAUCGGUCCUUGAACUCAAAUACCACACCUUCUGCCUGUUCAUCAGCCAUUCCACUUGUUCGUCUACUUCGUGUGGCCCUUGCGGGGGCCUCUUUCCGUACAUUGAGCCCCAGAAAACCUAGAAAACGGAGGAUUAGUGCCCCCCAUCCGGCCCCUUCGGGGUUGAAGAGGGACUCUGCGACCUCCUGUCGCAAAACUUGGUGUGCCACAGACCCACGCUGUAAACGGACACGGUUCCAAAACCUCACGAUCUGUUUGAAAACGGGGUAGUGUAGGGGUAGCUGCGACAAUUCAGGCGAUGUGUUGGUCUGGCAGCUCCCACAAUUUGUCGCAUGAACGAUAUCUGAAGCUGCACCGCUCCGUCCUUUAGGCAUGCCACGAAGGGCCCUCCGGC
rnacentral:lncRNA from 1 species